rnacentral:tRNA from 1 species
CGGGGCGUAGCGCAGUCUGGUAGCGCACCUGCUUCGGGAGCAGGGGGCCGGAGGUUCAAAUCCUCUCGCCCCGACCA